rnacentral:rRNA from 1 species
GACGAACCGUGCGAACGUUGUUCGGAAUCACUGGGCUUAAAGGGCGCGUAGGCGGGCCUCCCAGUCCGGGGUGAAAGCUUUCGGCUUAACCGGAAAAGUGCCUUGGAUACUGGAGGUCUGGAGGGAGGUAGGGCAAUCGGAACUUCCGGUGGAGCGGUGAAAUGCGUUGAUAUCGGAAGGAACGCCGGUGGCGAAAGCGGAUUGCUGGACCUUUUCGUGACGCUGAGGCGCGAAAGCCAGGGGAGCGAACGGG